ensembl:lncRNA
GGGUGUUUUUGUAAAAGCACUUUUGACAACUUCUGAUGUAAAAAGGGCUUUAUAAAUACAUUUGAUUGAUUGAUUAAAAAUGCAUUGAUGGUGAAGGGUUGUCAUAGCUGAUGGAAGUGGAUGCGUGGAGGGUUGUUAUAGCAGGUGGAGGGUUGUCAUAGCUGAUGGAAGUGGAUGCGUGGAGGGUUGUUAUAGCAGGUGGAGGGUUGUUAUAGCAGGUGGAGGUGGAUGCGUGGAGGGUUGUUAUAGCAGGUGGAGGGUUGCUAUAGCAGGUGGAGGUGGAGAGGUGGAGGGUUGUUAUAGCAGGUGGAGGUGGAUGCGUUGAGGGUUGUUAUAGCAGGUGGAGUGUUACUAUAGCAGGUGGAGGUGGAGAGGUGGAGGGUUGUUAUAGCUGGUGGAGUUGGAGAAGUGGAUGGUUGUUAUAGCAGGUGGAGGGUGGUUAUAGCAGGUGGAGGUGGAUGCGUUGAGGGUUGUUAUAGCAGGUGGAGGGUUGUUAUAGCAGGUGGAGGUGGAGAGGUGGAGGGUUGUUAUAGCUGGUGGAGGUGGAGAGGUGGAGGGUUGUUAUAGCAGGUGGAGGGUUGUAAUAGCAGGUGGAGGUGGAUGCGUGGAGGGUUGUUAUAGCAGGUGGAGGGUUGCUAUAGCAGGUGGAGGUGGAGAGGUGGAGGGUUGUUAUAGCUGGUGGAGUUGGAGAGGUGGAAGGGUGUUAUAGCAGGUGGAGGGUUGUUAUAGCAGGUGGAGGUGGAUGCGUUGAGGGUUGUUAUAGCAGGUGGAGUGUUACUAUAGCAGGUGGAGGUGGAGAGGUGGAGGGUUGUUAUAGCUGGUGGAGUUGGAGAAGUGGAUGGUUGUUAUAGCAGGUGGAGGGUGG